CACAGGGCAUUUCCUGAGGAUUAAUGGCUGCCUGGGAAUGGGUGAGGCCAGCACUGCAACUAUCAGCCAUUAGCUCCAGCUGCCCAUUAAUUCCCAAGACAUGUUCUGCA